rnacentral:rRNA from 1 species
GACGAACGCUGGCGGCGUGCCUAACACAUGCAAGUCGAACGGAGUUAAGAGAGCUUGCUUUCUUGACUUAGUGGCGAACGGGUGAGUAACGCGUGAGAAACCUGCCUUUCAGUGGGGGACAACAGUUGGAAACGACUGCUAAUACCGCAUAAUGUCAUUUGGGGGCAUCCCUGGAUGACCAAAGAUUUAUUGCUGAAAGAUGGGCUCGCGUCUGAUUAGCUAGUUGGUGGGGUAACGGCCUACCAAGGCGACGAUCAGUAGCCGGACUGAGAGGUUGAACGGCCACAUUGGGACUGAGAUACGGCCCAG